AUUGAACGCUGGCGGCAUGCCUUACACAUGCAAGUCGAACGGCAGCACGGGUGCUUGCACCUGGUGGCGAGUGGCGAACGGGUGAGUAAUACAUCGGCACAUGUCCUGUAGUGGGGGAUAGCCCGGCGAAAGCCGGAUUAAUACCGCAUACGAUCUACGGCUGAAAGCGGGGGCCCUUCGGGCCUCGCGCUAUAGGGUUGGCCGAUGGCUGAUUAGCUAGUUGGUGGGGUAAAGGCCUACCAAGGCGACGAUCAGUAGCUGGUCUGAGAGGACGACCAGCCACACUGGGACUGAGACACGGCCCAGACUCCUACGGGAGGCAGCAGUGGGGAAUUUUGGACAAUGGGCGAAAGCCUGAUCCAGCAAUGCCGCGUGUGUGAAGAAGGCCUUCGGGUUGUAAAGCACUUUUGUCCGGAAAGAAAUCCUUGGCCCUAAUACGGUCGGGGGAUGACGGUACCGGAAGAAUAAGCACCGGCUAACUACGUG
rnacentral:rRNA from 1 species